UGAGUGGCGGACGGGUGAGUAACACGUGGGUAACCUGCCCUAAAGUGGGGGAUAACAUUUGGAAACAGAUGCUAAUACCGCAUAAAACCUAACACCGCAUGGUGUAGGGUUGAAAGAUGGUUUCGGCUAUCACUUUAGGAUGGACCCGCGGUGCAUUAGUUAGUUGGUGAGGUAAAGGCUCACCAAGACCGUGAUGCAUAGCCGACCUGAGAGGGUAAUCGGCCACACUGGGACUGAGACACGGCCCAGACUCCUACGGGAGGCAGCAGUAGGGAAUCUUCCACAAUGGACGAAAGUCUGAUGGAGCAACGCCGCGUGAGUGAAGAAGGUUUUCGGAUCGUAAAACUCUGUUGUUGGAGAAGAAUGUAUCUGAUAG
rnacentral:rRNA from 1 species